rnacentral:lncRNA from 1 species
GAGACUGGAAUUACUUGGCUAGAGAUGGCAUACAUGAAUCUGAAUUUGUCAUGGCAUCAUGGAAGUGCAAGGCAUUAAGGUCGACAUUUUUCCCGGCAUUCAAAUUAGAUUUUUGCUUCUAAAAUUCAAUUUCUGGUGCUGUAAAAUCUUGUGCAUACACAAUCCUAUGUUCCAAAUCAGUGUCUUUUCACUUGCCUCGGGCUACAUCCUUGGCGGUGGCCAUAGCCCAGUAACUCAGCUGAGUCUGAGUGGACUUGACCGAGCUGUCUACACCCCAAAAAAUGUUACAAAAUAGAUCAAAACUAAUUUUUUUUAAAAUUAUUUAAAAAUUAGAAAAAAGUUAAAAAGGCUUAGAAAACAUUAAAAGACAAUAGAAGUUGAAAAAUAUAUACGACAUAUAGAUUAUUGAAAAAUUCGAUUUAUACCUUGAAUAUUUUUAAAAAAUAAAAAAAGAGAAAAUAAAUAAUUUCCCAAAUCAUCUUAAAAAUCAUAAACUAUCUAAAUACAUAGUCCUAAAUAAGAUAUUGUUCUGUUCACAUGUUUCUUGAUUUUUUUAAUAAUUAUACAUAUUUUUUACAUUUUCCUUUUGCUUGGCAAGUUGGGACAACUUGCCUAGGCCAUAGAUCAAGGCUAAGUUACUCGGCGGAGACUGACUGGACUCAGGCGGAGACUGACUGGACUCAGCCGAGUCCAUGAACAUGGGCCCAAAUUUCAGGACUUGGCCUAAGUUUCACCUUAAACCUUACUGUUAUGUUAAGAAUCAUCGGUCUGAAUCAGGACAUGCCUGAGUUGGACUGGGUGAUUCAAUCUUGGGGCCCUUGCAAGUUCAAGCUCGAGUCAUGGUUUUAAACACGGGAGGAACACCAUUGUCCACGAGUUACGCGAGUCAAGACUGUCAUGGGAAAAUCAUUUAAUUAAUUUAAGUAAAAAAUUGUUUUAUGCAGGCUGGACGGCAUGACUACAUAUGCAGUCCAAAAAGUGUAAAGCAUCUAUCUUAAAGAUGGAUGCAAGUAGGUGUUCCAUCUAAAAACAAUGGAAACUAAUGGUCCAAAUAAUUUUUUAUUAAAAUUAUUAUUUUUAGCUUUAAAAAUUUAUUUAUUUUUCAUAUUUAUGAUCUCAAUGUCAGAGAUUACAUGUCCUUAAAAAAUUAAGUCAAAAAAUCCAUCGCAAAAGUAGAUUUAUUAAUAAGUCCGCAUUUCUACAUAUGUGGACUUAGCCCCAUAGAAACCGGGUCCAAUUUAAAUAUGAGGAGAAAUGAACAGUUCAAUGGAAAAAUAAUAAUAAAAAACACAAAAUGAAAACAGUUAAGAAAAUAAAGAAUAAUGUUUUGACAAUGCCUAAAAUCUUUAAUAAAAGUUUCCUAACCUUGGACUAAUUUUGGUAGAAAUUUCUCCAAGUAGUUUCUCAACUUCCAACUCAAGAAACAUGAUCCUAAAUUCCUGAUUGUUUGUUUCAUUGUUUUCCCAUAGUUACUUCUAUUUAAAUCUUUUGUGACAACAAAUUUAUUUUUCCUACGCCUCCAUUUAUUUUCAUUAGUUAAAAAGUAACUAAAUUUAUGCUUUUAUCAAAAAAUAUCUUAAAUUAUUAUUUUUUACUUUAUUUUAUUCUUUAUUACUAAAAAAUACCUCAAUUUAUUUUUCCUACAAAAAAUUCUUCAGUUUAUUUUAAUUAGCAUAUUUUUUUUUUUUAGAGGAAUGCUUAUUAAGUCUUUUUUAGGUCAAAUUAUAAUAAUAACCACCCCGGCCAAUUCGGACCAAUUCGUAUUGAUCUGGAUCAACUACUGAACACAGGAAUGGUGGGUGGACGUUCCACCCCAUUGAUUCUAAACACCGGUGACAGUUAUGAUGUGAUGUAUUACUGCUCAUGGGUAAUCCAUCAAUUGAAUAAUUGAUGGAUAUGUGCUUCUUGAUCUCUUGUAAAAUUGAUCAUGAGAUUAGUGGUAGAGGCCAGUUUGGUCCUUGGAUUAUAAUAUCAAACAUGGGUAACUAAGCUUGAAUCGAUCAAAGUGAUGCUGAGAGAAAAAAGAAAGAGGGGCGAAGGCUCUUAUUGUUGGGAAAGCACAUCGGAAAUAGAGAGGAAGAGUUGUUGUUGUUGUUAUUAUUAUUAUUAUUAUUAUUGUUAUUGUUAUUGUUUUUGUUCUUGUGUUGUUCUUGUUUUUGUUCUUGUUCUGUUGCUGUUGCUGUUGCUGUUGUUGUUGUUGUUGUUGUCGUUGUUGCUGCUGCUGCUGUUAUUGCUGUUGUUGUUGUUGUUGUUGCUGCUGUUGUUGGUGAUGUUGUUGUUGUUGUUAUUAUUGUUGUUGAUGCUGUUGUCGUUGUUGUUGCUGCGGAUUAUCACUCGGCCCCAAGUUUCUUAGAGUCACUAGGAGAACUAGAGAAGCAAAUUUUAUUGCAGGCACCCUAGAAAAGGAAGGGCUAUCACACAUAGAACUGAUAUACUGAACUAUGACCUCCCUCACAUUUAUGUAUCACAUUUAAAAAUGGGUGUGGUUUGUAUAAGGUUGUAACCUUAAACAAUCCAAUUAAGGCACACCUCCAAAUUUAUCAUAACAUAUAAAUUUGGUGUAAAACAUUCUUAAGAUUAUCUGAAAAUUUAUUUUCAUCUCUAAUUAUAAAGUUUUAAACUCCAAAAAUGGUUAAAAUCAAGUAGAUAUAUAAACAUAUGAAAAUCUUGAAAAUGGACGGCUUAGAUAAUGUGUUGCAAGAUGCACUAUUUUUGGGACUCAAAAUCUUUUUUAUUUUUAUUUUUUUUCUAUAUUCAUACAUCUCGAUGUCAAGAUGAUCAAUUAGAAGGUUUUUCAAUAUUAAAACAACCUUUUUCAAUGGAAUUUGAAGGCACAGAUUUAAUUCUACAUUUCAAGGUUGCAACUUUAUAUAAAUUUUUUCAUUAAAACUAUAGGUUAAAUAUAAAAUCGUUUGUCUUUUUGUGACAAAUUUGAUAAAUUUCCAUCUAUCUCAUAUAUGUCUCUAUGUUUAUAUGUUUGUACCCCUCGGGGGUUAGUGGUGUAGGUAUUAGAUUGAAGAUCAAUUUAGAUGAACAACGAAUAAAUUUUAUAUCCCCCGAGUUGAGGGACUUACAGGCUUAGCACCCUGUCAUGCCGGACAAAACUCUGUUUAGUCUGAGUCUACUAGCCCAAGGCGGCAAACCCUGCAGUUAGCAAAUAAAAAAUUUAUAAUAAUAUAUAAAAUUUUAAGUAGAGAAAUAAAAGAAUAGGGAAAAGAAAAAAAGGAUAAAUAUAUAAAAAAAUGUUAUAAGGACAACUUUGUAGCUCUACACUGUACACUGUGACAUUGCACUUAUUGGCUGAUUUUUAGAACAAAUUGCCGAUUAAUACACUAAAAAAAAAUUCUUGCACACAUGACCAUUGGAAUCGGACCAAAUCAAGAUCGACCAGUGACCGAUUCCGAGUUAGUCGACCGAUAUUUUAAAAAUCGGCCGAUCUUUUAAACACUGAUUCUAAGAAAAUGAACUACUCUCUCCUCACAUAAUCCCCUUUCUCUCUUUCUCUCGCCCUAUGAUCUAGGAGACACUCUCCUCUCUCUCUUCCCUAUAUCUUUAAAUUUAGGGACACAUUGUUUUUAGGGGUCUAUCAUAUCUACUUUGCAAAGCAUGUACCUUCUUAUUCAUCUGACAUGUCUCCGCCCCUUAACUCUUGCUUAAUAAUAUAUUAUAAAUAAGUAAUUAUUACCAGGGAAACAAUAUAUAAAGACAAUGGAUAUCUCUAUAAAUCUCUCUGUAGCUAUCUCAUGCCGUCAUUCUUUAAAUAUGUCUUUAAUUUUAACAAACACAAUCAAAUCUAUCUCUUUUGAUUCCUAGAUUGUAUAGGAAACUAAUUCCUAGAUUGUAUGGAAAAGCAAGACUCCUAUGAUUUCUCUCAAAAAUUCCAGCUAUCUAUCAUAAAUAAAUAUAUUCAAAACAUUAAAUAAAUAAGAGAUUGUACAAUGAAACCAUUUAUCUUUAAUACAAGGUGGUCACAGUUCCUUACAAUCAUUCGAUGUGAGAUUUGAUAGCUUGGAUGUGUUAUAAAGUUCGAAAAAACUUCUUUUGAAGUUUGAGCUUGAUCAAUAAAAUAAUUGCAGCCACCAAUUGCACAUCCAAUGGUCAUGAUUAAUGUGAACAACUUGUAUCAAAGGUAAAUGGUCUCAUUCUAUACUUUCCCAAUAAAUAAUUAAGGAUAUUUUACAAUGAUGAAAAUAGACAAAUAAAAAUGGAUAUGAAUUUUAUUUUUUUAAAAAGGAAGCAGCCUACUUGAAUCUAGGUAACAACAAAAACAAUUUUUUUUAAAAAAAAUUAAGAUAAUUUAUAAUUAUAAAAUAUUUAAAAAUAAAAAUAUAUUAAAACAUGAAGAAAUAACAUUCAAAUAAAAUGUUAAAAAGAAACCACAGUAACCAUAAAAAUUGUUUUUGAUAAAUUUUAAAAAUUGGUUACAAAUGAAAUUACUGAGCAUAAAAAUUCAUAAUCUAUUUUUUAAAGAAUUUUAGUUUUACAGUAAUGAGCCUUGUAUCAAGGACAAUGCUAUUUAUUUAUAACUUUUAAAAUCCAUAUUAAAAAUUGGUAUAAAAAGUAUAAUCAAAUAAAGACAAAAUAUUAUGGCAAUAAUCUUAUUAUCAUACUUAUAGUUAUUAAUGAUUAUUACUAUUAGGAUUGUAUACUAUGAGAUCUUCUUUCUUUUUUACAAAGAGGUCACAAUUACUCCCAACCAUUAGAUUUCAAAUUAGAUGGUUGGGAUGUUUCGCCUAUUUCGAUAUUUUUUCUUUUUUGACCUUUGAGUCUAUUCAAUGACACUCUUACAACCACCCAAUUUGAAAUCUGACCAACAUAAGUGAUUGUGACCUCCUUAUACUAAAAAUAAAUGUUCUCUUUGUAAACUUUUCAAUUAGUAUUUUAAUAUUAGCUCUAUUGAACACACUAGUCUCCAUUUUUUUUGGGUAAGUAUAUUAUAAACGAAAUGCCAAAGAAUGCUUCUACAUUUUUAUCAAACUUCCAAAUAUACAAAAAAAAAAAAAAAAAUGAAACUGUAAAGAAUUCAAAGAGAAAGAAUGUGUAAUGAUUGAUAACAAAAUAUAGGAGAAAAUUUUAAAGCAAACCAAAAGCCUACCUCAUAGCCCACUUGUUUUUUUUAUUUUAUUUUGGGUGAGUCAGUGGGGAGAGGGCCCCUACCCUUGGUAGGAUUUGAGCCUAGGACGUAGUGUUACAAAUCGCCAAACGCUAACCAAUUAAGCCCGGCUCUUUUCCUACCUCAUAACCAAUUUUGAUGUCAAUACAAAACCGUGGAAGAAAUUUAUAUUCAUCCAACUAUCCACCAUUAAUAAAUAAAUUCAAAAUAUCGACAUCCAACUAUCCACCAUAAAUAAUUAUAUAGUAAAAAUAUUAAAUAAAUAAGUAGGUAUAUUUUGCAAUGAUGAAAAUAAACAAAUAAAAAUAAAUAUGAUUUUUUUUUGAAAAAGGAAGCAGCCUACCUCAAUCUAGGUGACAAAAAAAAAAAAGAAAAAAAGAUAAUUUACAAUUAGUAGUUUUUCUCAUGACUUUUUAUAAGUUUUUCUUGUUGAUUUUUAUGAUAUUUUUAAGUUAUAUAAACAAAAUAUUUGAUUUCCCUAGUGAGUUUAAAUAGUGCUUCGUUAAGCCCUCGCUAUGUCAAAAUUUUCUCUCCCAAUCACAUCUCUCACUAUCUUCACAUUUACCAUGCUCUUUUGUCUCCCACGCACUCUCACAUAAAUUGUUUUGAACCAGCCCUUCAUUGAGGUACUUCAUUACUUUGAGCAUCAUUAGUGCAGAGAAACUUCUUAGUUAUUGCUCCCCAAUUUUAAGAUCAAGUUUGACCUAAGAUCUUGUGCUACCAGGAGUAAGCAUUUUAUAGGUUGUAACUAAGACCUUAAACAACAACCCAAGUUCAUUAUUUUUGGCUUCUCAUGGCCCAAGUCUUAUAUGCAAACAUUUGGUCGAUUCUUGUAUUUUGGAGAUUUAGUUUAUAUUUAUGGAUAAGUGUUUGAAUGUAUUUAUAUAAAAAAAUUUAUGGUGUUGAAGUUUAUAUGUAAGUGACAUUGUAUUGAGUUUUAUCAAUCAACAAGUGGAAAUAUAUUGGGGACUUAAGUGAGGUCUUAUAAUUUCUUUUUUGAGUGUAUAUAAUACUCUACAACCGUUCGUAAAAGUGAUUAUGUGGCUCUAAUUAUUGGUUAAGAUCAUUGUAAGUUUGAGUGCUUGUAAAAAUUUUAGUGUUGUAUAUUUGAGCUUGCUACUAUACACUCACUAAGCGAUAUCUGAGCCUAGCCUCAGAAGUGUCCCCUAAUCAACUCUUUGGGUUGCAUCCUCAGUGUGCAUAGGUCUUAGAUCAUGGUGACCAUUGUUAACUACCGUGUGAGCUAAGUGUUUGAUGGAAUUCUUCAUUGAAAUCGACAUCUGGAUAGUACAUAGAGAUUAACAAUCUAUGCGAUUGAAAAAUGAGUUGGGGAUCUACAGUAAUCUAGACCCAAUGCCAACGGAUCAAAUAACUGAGAAUUAGGUCUCCUAUUAAUAAAAUUUCAUGAGACUGUGUUUAGGGACCCUAAAUUGGAAGCAUUGAAGCUAGAGGUAACACAGUCAAAUUUUUCAGAUAAUCAUAUCUAAUUAUUGUUUUUUGAACAUUAAAGAUGGCAUAAAAAUAAUAUUUUGUUUGAGUAAUUUUUUUCUUAUUUUGUUGAUUUUUUACUCUACUUUCAUGUAGAAAAAGUCUCAAUGGAAUAUCAUUUAUAGAUAGGGAGAUAUAAGUCAAUCUUUGAGUAGUAUUAGUUAUAAGUACAUAAAUUCUAGGAACAUUGCAUCAUAUUGUGUGGGGUUUUUAGGUUAUUAUCAUAAGGGGUGGGAGUGAAGUGCUUGUUUUAAUUUUAGAAAAUUAAGAUUAGUUUCAAGAAAACUAAAUUUCAUAGAAAAUCUCCAUAAAGAUUGGGAGAUAUGGCAUAGUCUAGAAAGUAACAUCCUGAGUCAAAAUUAAGUCUAGUUUUAAGAAAACUAAAUUUCAUGGAAAAUCUCGGUAUAGAUUGAGAGAUAACUAUUUUAUCAAAAGGCGCUCAAUCUGUCUUUUUGCUGCAUAGUCUAGAAAGUAACAUCUUGAGUCACAGGUCAGAAGCCCCAUGAUGAGAUCUUAUUAUACCAAACCCAAGUUUUUUUUAUGCCAUUUUGAGUCUAUUUUAUAUAGAAAAAACUCUAAUAGCCAAAUCUUCUAUUUUUUUGGAGUUAUGGUAUUUGGAUCAGAGGGUGCUCAAUCCGAAAGUGCAGAAAAUUGAGGAAGUCAUACCCCACGGGUGAGUUGAACGAUGCAAUGCGCACCCUUAUAUACUCCAACUACUACACAAUCAAUUACGAGUCUUUUAAGACUACUUGGCGCAUAUUUGAUCAGUAAGAUCAGAUAUUCGGACGACAUCCGGUAUACGCGUGUUUGCUGUUACUAUCUAUGACCCCAAAGGCACAUGAAUAUGGAUUGGACCAUCAACAUAUUCAAAGGAUGUAAAGUAACAGUGGAGCGCAAACAAAGGCAUGAUACUUCACAAGGCAGCAUAGGUAGACCGUACAGUAUAAUUUCUUAUCCAUGUGCAUAGUGCUAUAGUAUAAUAGACAGAUACGAUCCAAUGAGUACAAAACCUAAGAAAAAAAAAUAUUGUCUUCAUAUUCCCUACAUCAUUAGAAUAUGGAGGGAUAUCUUCACAUAAAAUGAGAAAUGUUAACACAUGGAAAGCAAGGACCACAAUGAAAAACAUAGAAAGAAGGAAUAGUGACAUAAUGUAUGAAUUUGAACUAAAAAUGGAUAUGUAUACAUAUAAAAACAAAUAUAUAGGUUUUUUAAUGAAAAAUAACCUUUACAUAUACUACUUAUAUAGUUGCUUUGAUUGAGUCACCCUUAUAAACAUCUACUAAGAUAUGUAUUCUCAUAUUUAUACAUGCGUUUUGAUUAAAAAUAUACGUUUUCAUAUAUAUUAAAAAUAACCUUUGUUAUGGGAAAGUUUUCUAUGCUUCCCCUACAGCAUAUAAGUUUUAUCCUCCCCCAUAUUUUUGACCGUUGAUUUAAAAUACAGAGCUUGGAUUAAUCCACUUGAGUUGUCACAAAAAAAGGGCACGGGUUCAACCGGUAACCUAUGCAAACGGCCCGUACAAGAGAGAGAAAGGAGUAACCUUUUCCAUUUUAGAGAGAGAGAGAGAGAGAGUUGGAAAAAAGGGAAAGCAAAGAGAGCAGGCUGAAGAAAAAUGCCCCUACAGACAGCUGAAGAAAAAGUGGAGAGAGCAGGCUGGAGAAAAGGGAAAGCCAUUGAAGAUUAGGGUUUCAACUUAAAUUCGCGACUUUGUUGCCAUGACACAAACAGGUGUGCUUCUUCUUUUCGCUUCUCAAAUAUUUUUUUUUAAACCCUC